rnacentral:rRNA from 1 species
AUUGAACGCUGGCGGAAUGCUUUACACAUGCAAGUCGAACGGUAGAGGGGGCAACCCCUCGAGAGUGGCGAACGGGUGAGUAAUAUAUCGGAACGUGCCCAGUCGUGGGGGAUAACGUAGCGAAAGUUACGCUAAUACCGCAUACGAUCUAAGGAUGAAAGCGGGGGAUCGCAAGACCUCGCGCGAUUGGAGCGGUCGAUAUCAGAUUAGGUAGUUGGUGGGGUAAAGGCUCACCAAGCCAACGAUCUGUAGCUGGUCUGAGAGGACGACCAGCCACACUGGAACUGAGACACGGUCCAGACUCCUACGGGAGGCAGCAGUGGGGAAUUUUGGACAAUGGACGCAAGUCCGAUCCAGCCAUUCCGCGUGCAGGAUGAAGGCCCUCGGGUUGUAAACUGCUUUUGUACGGAACGAAAAGGUCUCUCUUAAUACGGGGGACUCAUGACGGUACCGUAAGAAUAAGCACCGGCUAACUACGUGCCAGCAGCCGCUGUAA